AUAACUUUAAGUUAAGAAAACUGUAAACCUUCAAAGUUUGAUAUAACCUUUAGAUGUUAAGUUAUG
rnacentral:tRNA from 1 species